UACAGAGGGUGCGAGCGUUGUCCGGAAUCACUGGGCGUAAAGGGUGCGUAGGCGGCGCGGUAAGUCGGGUGUGAAAUCUUGGAGCUUAACUCCGAAACUGCAUUCGAUACUGCCGUGCUUGAGGACUGGAGAGGAGACUGGAAUUUACGGUGUAGCGGUGAAAUGCGUAGAUAUCGUAAGGAAGACCAGUGGCGAAGGCGGGUCUCUGGACAGUUCCUGACGCUGAAGCACGAAGGCCAGGGGAGCAAACGGG
rnacentral:rRNA from 1 species